CCUCCUUUCCCUCAGCCUUCGCUGCCACUUGGCAAGCUUCACAGGGUCCAACUUUCACCCUUUCCUGAAGUUAUGCUUCUGCCUGCUGCAGCAGAGAUUAUCCAAACAUUAGAUGUUUCCACCCUUUUGACACACGGUUUGACUGUUGUGAGCGCCAUGGAUGAUGUCAAACUUUUUGAUAUUGCACCGAAUGAAAGAGACAUGCAAUCUUAUGACACUGAUGUUAGGAUUUGCCACGUAUCAUGGCAUAUUUGUGGGGUCCCUGCGGGGGGUCUGGAGAACCAAAAUGUAUGUGUAUAUACACUCUUGUAAAAAUCCCAAUAAAUGUAAUACAAAUUAGGUUUCUACAACUCUAUAUUAAAGUAAUUCUCUUCAAACUAUAUUGCAUAUAACAAAAUUGUUUUCAGGGUAUCUUAAACAAAGAUACAAUAUCCAUGUCAUAAUCUCACAAAAUAUACUAUAUCAGGAGUAAAUAACAGACAUAACGAGACAACCAAGUCCAUAUUAUUCCUGGAGUCGCGUAGAAUCUUGGGUCAAUUUAAAUUGUAGUAAAGAUAUUCAGUGUCCAAGAUAAGUUUCUAUAUUCAAAGGAAUUCUUCGUUUGCUUCGCAACGCCAAGAACUAGUACACAACAAGGUCUCCCGGGUUGUUCCCCUUGUUUCGUUAUCACUUCCUUGGGUGUUGUGUCUGUUUUAAUCUUAUUGUGCUUAGUACACUAGAUAAAGGAGUAAAAAUAACAUACACAAUAGAUAUAUGAAACUCCCAUAUUAACAUUACUAAGGAAAAUGUUUUUUAAAAGAAAAUGGUAAAAAACACGCUUCUCUACUUACAUUCCUAUUAGUAGCUCUGGCUCUGUUUUAAGUGGAGUUCUAUAACGAGCAAAUGAAAGAUUUCCAGGAUGCCUCUUAAGUAAAGUUACAUGUUACAGAAAACAGGUGUAUUCAAUUCUAUCGUUUAGCCCCUGAGGAAUUAAUGUUUGUAGUUUGAAAAUCCAAAAGGAUUCUCUUUGUAGAAGAAGUUUUUUCACAUCUGCAUUUGGUCUGGGCAGUACUUUUUCUAAAGCACAAAAUUUAAAGCUAUGAUACGCAUGGGCUUUUUCAUUAAAAUGUAAAUACAGUGAAGAGUCAGUGGAUCCAUUCCUUAUGCGUGAACGAUGUUUGUUUAUCCUAGUUUUAAGGGGUCUGGUGGUUAUUCCAAUAUAUAACAGUAAACAAGGGCAUUGUAUUAGGUAAACAACAUUAUCAGUAGAACGUGUUGUCAAAUGUUGCAAUGUGAUAUUAAUUUUAAGUGUUGGAUGGGAGUCGGCCUGGAGAACCAGUCAUUCCACGCCCCACAUUGCCCAACAUACCUCUGAGCCAUUUCGGGGGGGGGGGGGAAGCGUCGCCACCUGACUCCCCCCCCCCCCAUUGGCAGCGUAUCUCUAGGCCCUUCCCUCCCCCCACCUCCCUCGCUGCCCAGGCUUACUGUCCCCUUUUGCUAUGGGCCCGGAAGAAGUAAUUGUGUGUUGUGUAAUGGGCUCCGUGGAAAGAGGGCCCUGUAAACAGCGUAUGAUGGGCAAAUUGCCCCAUCCAAUGAGGUUGAUGGCCUCCCUGGUGAUGCAGUCUCCCUACCAGAACUCAUCCUCAUUGAGUGAGCCUCUUACUUUGGAACUGGGCUUUUGGGGUCAAGGAAGGAAAGGGACAUUAAGAUCCUAUAACUCAAGGUUGAGGCUCUAGAAUGAAUUUGAGUGAGACAAGAAGGAAAAUGCUGUUAAGGUAAAAACACCACUACGAAAAACCUCUGAGAAACAAAGGAACGGGUUCCCUAAAAGAGUGUGAGUGUGUGUGUUCCCAUUCAUCAGAAAUGAGAGUGUGAGGAAAGCUGUCUUGUCGUACGUAGGCAUGCACAGUGGAGCUGCUGACUCAGAUCGACUUGGGAGACUCCUGAACUACAUCUGUCUUCUUACUUUGAAAGAAAGAUGAGUAUCUUCAUUUCUCUGUCUUCAUUUCUCUGUCUGCCUCUGACCCUCGGGGUGUGUGCCUUUUUCAAGUAGAGACCUUUUUAUUUUAUUCCAUUUUAUUUUUGUUCUCUUUUUUUCUUUGAUAUUGGGGGUUUGGGUUUUUUUUCUUGUGGUUUUCUGUGUGAGAAAGAGAUGUCUUCCAUUUGACAGAGGAAAACAGAAUCAUGGAUUCAUAGAUUUGGUCAUCCAUUCCAAACCUCUUCUCCAGCCAUGUGUAGAGAUACACAAUUAAAGCACUCCUGAAAGAUGGUCAAACAUCUUCCCUUUUUUGCCUUUCUCAAAUGUUUUAUUAAGUUUCAGAAAAAUACAUACAUUAUCCAAAAGGAGAUAGAGAAAAAUACACACUUAAAGGUUUCUCCCCCUUCAGUAGGACAUAUUUCCUAAUAUGUAGACAUGCCUUUUGUGCCCAGAGAGAUGCCAUGGUGGGAGGUUUCAGGAAAGGCUUGAGCAAUCCUAAAAAAGAAAACGGGUUCCCUUAGAACUGAAAGACCAGAUUCCACUAAUUGCAGUGAUGCAAAAGGAGGCUUUUAAGCAGAGGCUGGAUGGCCAUCUGUCAGGGCUGUUUUAAAUGCGAUUUUUCUGUUUUUGGCAGGGUGUUGGACUGGAUGGCCUGUGAGGUCUCUUCGAACUCGAUGAGUCUAAAAGUAUUUAAACACAAAAAAGUUCAAUGCAUACAUACAAACACAAAUGAGGUCAAUGAAACGUAAGACUGUUACACUAACACUGAAUAAAAAUAGAGUAACUUGUUCUUUUCUCAAAACUUGAUGUUUUGCCAAAUUUCUAAUGAAGUGGCCUUUGUUGCUCUCAGGUUAGGAGCACCCAACUUGGGGGAGGAGUCAAAAUAAACUUUUUUUGGGCAAUUUCCAUCAUUUCCUUUUGCUCCCUAAGCAGGAAGGUUUGGUUAUAAGCUACCUCAUACCUCAUACUUUGCCAAAAUAUAAAAUAGCCUUUUAGGGUACCUUUAUUCCUUCCUUCCAUGAUUUGUCUGUGUCAUGAUUCUUCUGAGCACUUCCAACCACUUCCCAGCGUAAUCUGAUGAAGUCCUUAGUUUUGGACCAUCUCUCUAAUUUGUUCAGAUUGUUUUGAAUUCUGCUCCUGUCUUUUGGAGUGUGAACUAUUCCAAUUUGGUGUCAUCUGCAAACUUGAUGAUCAUGCCUUCAAACUCUUCGUCUAAGUCAUUAAUAAAUAUGUCGAACAGAACCGGGCCCAGGACGGAACCCCUGCAGCACUCCACUCGUGACUUCUUUACGAGAUGAAGAGGAAGCAUUGGUGAGCACCCUUUGGGUUCGUUCACUUAGCCAUUUACAGAUCCACCUAACUGUGAUGACCGUCACCCCGGCUUCCAAAUUGAUUUGAACCCGCAGCGGAGAGUUCCGCAGAUCCAUCACCAAAAGGAACGGAGCGGGACCGCAGCAGACUAUUAUUAAAAGAUUUUUUUUCUCACUUUCCCCUUCCCUGAACUAUGUAACAAACCCCCCAAUAAAAGUAGCAUUUAUUUUAACAGUAACACUCUCCAUCUGGUUAUUUUGUGUCUUUCUCUGACUCUUUCCUUUGCAUGCAAUUUCUCUCUCUCUCUCUCACUCACUAACCCGUCUGAUCUUUAAACCCUGGCGGAGGCUUCCCCGCCAUAGGUUAAUACAGCGGACGAUACAAAUUGGCUCAUAUCUUUAUCAAAAUUACCCCUAGCACGCUCCUCUUUUAGUCCUAACCCUUUCUAAGGCUCCUGACUCAAGGACCACCAACGGAACCACAAUCGGUCCAGUUCUCGGCACCUCAUCAGCUGACUGUCAAACGGAGCCGGCUGCUCCUUUCAAGCCAGACUGCUCUCUUCCAGCCUUAUCCCGGACUUUCCUCUCCCCGCGACCCGCGGGAUGGUUUUAAGAGAUCCCUGGUCCCUUUCUGUGAACUGGGGAUGGGGGGAUCGCUCUCCCGCUGGGGAGACAUAGUUCUCCAAGGACCUUCACCCUCUCUACAGCCUGCCUGGAGGAUGCCUGGACGGGCGCCCUCCACGUUUCAUUCAUACCUUCAUAAUUUUAUGAAGGAGAAGAACACUCUUCCCCAGACCUAUCCCUGGACUUAUGAAAUCUUAUACUUCCAAAGACUGCAACCCACAUGUGCCCCUUCCCCAUGCCAUCUCUAUGAAUUCCUUCCACCACAGAUGAACUCUUUUCCUCAUGUAUCCGUGAAUUUUCAUAUUCUAUGUACCUGGACACCCUCAUGAAUCACUGUUGUAUGAAUUUCUAAUCGUUGGGCUAACUUCAUGAAUUGUGAGAUCAUGCUGCUAAAACUCCACUUUUAUGAAUUUCCAUAUUGGGUUCCCCAGAUGUUGUGAACUUCGUUCUUAUCAAAUGUUUUCAAAUUGUUUAUAUCAUUCAUGAUUCCCCUUCAUGCAAUGUAACCCACCUCUAUGGAUUCUCCCUUACUUCCUUGAAAUCUAUCUAUCUGCCUAUAUGUAUUUGUACUCUUUGGGAUCCCCGGAAAAUAUGUAUUUUUCCCAGCUGGGUUUAUAUUCCAACUUUAUUUUAUUUUUCAUUUUAUUUCAUAUAAUUGCCAAGUCAUGAAAUCAGAUAGGGAAUAUUUCGAACUCAACUUGAACCCCAGGACCUGCCCCAUUUCCUAUGACCCAGGCUUGCCUUCCCGAAAACAAAAGGUUAAUCCGCUGCCGCUUAACCUAAUCAGAUUCAGAUUGCAUGGACAAUAUAGGGCUUGAGUCGCCGAAUUCGGAGUAUUUUGACCUAAAGGUGAUUCGCCCUCAAGGCAAACAUUGUCAUAUCUCCUCCACUAAGGAAAUCCAGGACACCUCAGGAAGGCGCCCUGCUGAGCCCAUCACCACCCAUCCUUACUCCCACCUCUGACACCCCAAGGCAUAUCUGAAAUCUGUGUACGUGACAGGAACCCUUGAUUGCUGUCAUUAAUCCCUUUAGAAUUCGGCUGGGCAGGAAUUAAUCCGAUCCUUCCUGCUCAGUCACUUCAUUGUUUCAAUAACUCCCGCCUUCUCCUCUCUGAUUGGCCCGAGUGGGGACAAAAAGCAGCUCCCUAUUGACCCAGCAGAGCAAGGCGGGAAAUGAAAGCCCGCCUCGUUCAACACUCUAGCCUAUCCGCGAUCAGAUGGGCGGGGGAGCGGGGCGGGAAAUUCAAGGGGCUGUCAGACUGAAACAUUGUAUAAAUAUGGCUUUAUUUUGGUUAUAUGGUACCCUAGUAGACUGAAUGAUCACUACUAGAGUCCUUUUCAGCUGAAUCGCUCAAUAAAGACUCCUUGGCGGAUUUUCCUUCAACUUUGGCGGACCUUCUUCAUUUCGGCUUCAGGUUGUAUUGCGGCUCAUAUUCUCCUAUUGGCUCCGCCAAGGUCCGUUCUCUCAGGACCGGAUCGGGUCUCUCCUUAAGGGGCCCGAUCCCCUAAAAACGCGGUCGACAACAUAAUUUGGCUUUACCACGAAGGGACUUGCUUGGAAGUUCCAAAAAUCAAUUUUUAGGCUAAAAUUCCAAGCGGCGACCUUGGUCCAGAUGUUCUGGAACAGGUUGGGGAGAGAAACGGCUGCAAGGAGGGCCCUCCGACCAACAAUUUGACCUCAUUUCACAUCCAAAUUUCUCUGGCAGUCCCUUUCUCUCUCUAGAUCUGAUUCAGGGUACUGAACAAAGGAGCCAGAUAGGAGGAAGCAGAUUUUUAGCUCCUCGAAGGAAAGGCGCCAACGUGAAACAGGGGACGCCCUGAAAAGGAACCGGUUCCGUUGUUAAGACCCAGGUGGGCGGAGCUCUGGAGGUAUUGCACUUCAGAUCAGGGCUCGGUAACAAAUUCCUGGUGAAACGAGGGAACAUCUGGCACCUGAAAGCAUGUGAGAGCAGUCUAGCUUGCAGUUGCAGGUUCAAGGAUCGUAGGGUAGGGGAACGGUUGUGCUCCCGGGUCACCUGCGGAUUCCACGAACGCUAGCCAUUCAGCCUUAGUGGAGGGAACUCUUGAAAGGACGAGCUGCAUCCUGACCGGUUGGGUGAGUCGUUACUCCAUUAACUGUCGGUGUGGGCAGGGGCUGAGCUAAGGAUGGGUGUUUGUUCAGCACGUCUAGGGUGUCCCACCCCAGCAGACAUCCCCAGGGAUUCUCCAUUGGGCAAGAUCCUGGCCAAUUGGGGUGGGCUUGCACCGAAAAACAUGGUGCAGGCCAGGUUGGGCCAACUCAGCGAGCAUAAGUGGCCCCUUGUGGCUCUUGAAGGGGAACAGCUUGCCCCCCCCCCUUGAGUCGCCGAAUUCGGAGUGUUGACCUAAAGGUGACUCACCAUGGGGAGGGCAGGUGGUUCCGGCUUGCUUAUGCCGCGAUGUUCAUGGCCCUAAAGCCAGGGAGAGAAUUGGAGGGGGGGGGGGUCCACGUCUUCCCAUGCAGAGAUUUGGGCUCCAAAAACAACCCCCCCCCCAAAGAUUCCUCUCUAGACCCUUUCCCCUUACCCCCUCCUCCAGAGGAUUUUCUGGACACAUUUGCUUGCCUUCUCCCCCACCCCAUCAGCCCCCUCCUCCAAUCCCUAUCCCUACCUUUUCUCCUCACCCUGAGUCCUACACUGAUCUAGGACUCCCAAAUUGGCCUUCCGAGGGAACCCUUACUUCAGGGACCCCCCCCCCCCAAGAAAUUCCCCUCCAGAGAGUUCAGCCCAGUCUAACGUGGAGGAGGGCUCCCAGCCCCCUCCCCUCUCACCCCGAAACACACCUGAUCCAAAACACUGUUCCUCUUCUCAAGUCACACUCUCUCAGCCAUUCAAUGGUUUUCCAAAGAAUCAUUUUCCCCUCUCUCCCUCCUUUAAAAAAAAAAGCUAUCUAUUUUUGAAUUUUUUUGAGUCACAGUUCAAUCCCCUUUUUCCCCCUCUUCUUUUCUGUUUGUUUUACCCAUAACUCCAGAAACUCCCCAAAGAUCCCAGAGGAACAUAAAUCUUUAGACUGUCAAUUUGCAUUUUUGUUGGUUACAAUUUGCAAGUGGGAUCUUUGAUCUGGCAUUCUUUCAAAAUCGUCAGGUCACAUCUUGAAGUUAGCUCAAACUAAAGGGUCCUGUGUCCCCAAAGACUCCUUUCCCUUUUUCUCUUUUUUUUCACCUAAUCCCUUUGGGCAACCCUGCAAAACCCCUCCCCUUUUUGAACGCUCUCUCUCUGCCUCACCCCCCCUCCACUCCCCAUCCUUCUACUCUCUCAGCCUCAUCUCUCUCUGGGGGUUAUUGUGUAUUUAUGGAAAACCUUCCAUCUUCAGGGACAGCUGAGUCCUGCCGGGGGCUCCCCUGUUCUCUGAGUAAUAUUCUUUGUUUGUUGUCCUGAUUUUGGAAUUUGCCUGUCUUUUAAAUGUUGGGAGCCAAGUUUGGUUCCUUUUCAUGGUUUUCGUCCUUGAUCUAUCUUUUCUGUUCCUCUCUCUCUCUCUCUCUCAGCCCCCAUCCCAGCCGUUCCUUUGAAGCCUGAUGCCCCCCCCCCAAAAUUGUAUCUGCCCCUGCCACUCAACUCCUGCCACAUUCAGAGUUUUCCUCAGAUGGGAAGAAUCACCCCACUAUCCCCCCUCCUUCUCUUGCCCCCACCAGGCUCUCUCUCUCUCUCUCUCUCUCUCUCUCUCUCUCUCUCUGCGCCCAUUCCUCUCUUGGAGAGAGAGGAGAAGGAGGGGCCGCGGGGAGAUUGUGCAAAGAGGACACUUUUUUUUUCUCUUCCUGUUUUUGGAGGGGCAAAGGGGGGAGAAGAUUCAGUCCUGAAGCCUCCCACCAAGCAAAUCAAACCUUCUCCAACUUGAUAUUCUGCCUUGCCUACCCUCAAAUUGUACCCUUUUUUUCUUUUCCUCUCUCUCUCUCUUCCCCGGCCUGAGUGAAAAUCUCUCUCUCUCAAAUCUCAAAUCCAUUUCUCCUCUCCUUCCUCUCUUCUCACCUUUUAAAAAUCCCUUAUUUCCCUUUGUUCCCAUUUUCUAGACACUAUCCCUAACGUUUUACCUCAGUGUUGUCUUAUAUUUUCUUUUGGUCCUUACAAAUGGGGGGGGGGGGGCAUUCCUUUAGCCGCUUCUGUUUCUUAAUUUCCCCUUUUCUUUCUCUCCCAUCUGGGAAGCAUGGCAAAGGAUUUGGGUGGGGGAGGGGGACUCCCAGAAAAGUGUUGAUUAAAUUUUGUGUGUUUAUGUAAUGUGUGGGCUGUAAACUCUCCUCUACUCACCCCUUUGCCUUAAAAGCCACCAGUGAUAUAUAGUUUUCUGGGAAGGAGGGCUGGAAUGGACUAGCUUAGUGCUAUGCUCUCUCUCUCCCCUUUUCUUCUGUGCCAUCUCACCUCCCUAUUUUCAAAGGUUCAAGCCGUGAUAUUUUGUGACCCCCCCCCCCCAGAGAAAUCCUGCUGCUUCUGUGGUUUUAACUUUUUCUUGUCUCUCUCUCCUCAAACCUCCCUUAUCUUAGGGACAAACGGGUGGGGGAUGGAAGAAUGGAUUUAUUUUUCUAUAUGUGAGUUUUUUUUUCUCUCUCUCUCUCUUCCACUUCAUGUUUUCCUAGGCCAAAAUGCACUUCAACAUUCUCCUUUUUCAAAGCUUUCCCCCCCCCCCCUUCCUUCCCCUGUGAAGGGACUCCCAGCAUCCCCAUUUCUCCUUAUAAACAUACAGUCAAAAUCCUGGUUUACUUUUAUAGUAAAGGCACUCUUUCACUCUCCACAGUUCCCCAACAAUCUCCUUUCUUCCUUUCAGGUCCUUCUCCCUCCCUUUCCCUGAGUGCAUGCGUGUGAAUGUUUUAAAAAUCCCUCUAACUGCCUUUAAAAUAUGAGGAGGGCAUUAGAGUCCAGGGGACCUUCCAGGCACAGCUGAAGAGAUCCAGAGGACCGGACCCAACCACCUGACUGAGGACAUCAGACCAGACUGCAAGACCCAUAAUCCAUACCUGCCACCAUGAACAGUUCUAAGACCUGGGUAGGGGCUCUCGGAGUGCGCUGUGGAUUUCAUGCAGCAGCUAGAACCCAGAGGCCAUUGGAGAUGGUCCUGUGAGGGCUUUUAUGGCCAGACCACCGUAUGGUGCCCUCCAGCUGGCCUGGUUCUGCCCUGGCAAAGGGCUACUGAGUGCAGGUCUGCCUUUGACGCUGCCAAGGAGGCCCUCAUGACAUCACCAGGGGACAGAAUUGGCCGCCAUGGCAGAAGAUGUCCCAGAAGAAGUGAACAGGACUCUGCCAGUGACCACCAUGAGGGAAGGAUGUCCCGCCCUCACCAGAGCUGUGCCAAAGAAGGACCCCAGGACUGCUGGAGCCCUCACAAGGUAUGAGUGACUUCCCUGACUAACCCCACCAUGGGAGGGAGGGGGGCUUAUAAUCUGUCCUUAGUUUCCCUAGGCACUCUCUCCUUUCCGUCUCCUCUGUUGGAGUGCUGGACCUGCCUGCAGUCACCAGGAGGCGCCGUGCUGUGAGGCGCAGAAGCUGUGCCCAGUUGCCCCCAGCUGCCAACUACAAAGGGGGGCCCAAGCUGCAGCCAAGAAAAGGCAGCCAAAUGGGAGUACUGCAUCACAGCCUCCAUCAUCCCCAGCCCUCACCACCUCCACCUUCAUGCUCCAUUUCCCAUGACUCCAGACCAAGGGACAUCUGCUUCAACACCAUGGGAUCACCCACCACUGACUGAACCUCAGCUUUCACCUCUUCAAGCUCCUGCCCUCCAACAAAAGUCACAAUCUGAUCUACCAAGGCAGAGGCCCUGCAUGCAGUGAAAUGUCGGGGCUUUGGGAAAUGUUCAUAGCCAUUUCCAAGCCCCGAAGGGGGGAAAAUGUGAUCGAGGUGACCACCCUCCCCUCCAGGACUUUGUAAAAGAUAGUUCAAAAGUCAAGACUUUAUGUUCUAUAUUCCAUAUAUUUAUAGUAGAAGGUGAUUGAGACUUUUUUACUGGAGUUUACUGUGGAUUAUCCCUGCACUCUGAGGCAAGAGAUAACAACUUCAUGAAGUGUAAAAUCAUGCUGCUAAAACUUCACUUUUAUGAAUUUCCAUAUUGGGUUCCCCAGAUGUUAUGAACUUCGUUCUUAUCAGAUAUUUUCAAUUGUUUAUAUCAUUCAUGAUUCCCCUUUAUGCAAUGUAACUCACUUUUAUGGAUUCUCCCUUAUUUCCAUGAAAUCUAUCUAUCUGCCUAUAUGUAUUUGUACUCUUUAGGAUCCCCGGAAAAUAUGUAUUUUUCCCAGCAGGGUUUAUAUUCCAACUUUAUUUUAUUUUUCAUUUUAUUUCAUAUAAUUGUCAAAUCAUGAAAUCAAAUGGGAAAUAUUUUGACCCCAACAUGAACCCCAGCUCCUAUGACCCAGGCUUCCCCUUCCCAAAAACAAAAGGUGAUUCGCCCCCAAGGCAAACAUUGUCAUAUCUCAUCCUAAGGAAAUUCCAGGACACCUCAGGAAGGCGCCCUGUGGAGCCUGUCAAUUUUGGCUCAUCAACACCCAUCACCACUUCCCCCCCCCCUGACACCCCAAGGCAUAUCUAAAAUCUGUGACAGGAACCCUUGAUUGAUGUCAUUAAUCCCUUUAGAAAUCGGCCGGACAGGAAUUAAUCUGAUCCUUCCUGCUCAGUCACUUCAUUGUUUCAAUAACUCCCGCCUUCUCCUCCCUGAUUGGCCCGGGUAGAGACAAAAAACAGCUUCCUAUUGGGCCAUGCGGAGCAAGGCGGGAAACGAAAGCCCGCCUCGUUCAACACUCUAGCCUAUCCGCGAUCAGAUGGGCGGGGGAGCGGGGCGGGAAAUUCAAGGGGCUGUCAGACUGAAACAUUGUAUAAAUAUGGCUUUAUUUUGGAUAUAUGGUACGCUAGUAGACUGAAUGAUCGCUACUAGUGUCCUUUUCAGCUGAAUCGCUCAAUAAAGACUCCUUGGCGGAUUUUCCUUCAA